AGUAAAUCAGCCUGCAAACGCUCCUUUCCGCGCACAGUAAAUUGCAUAAAUAGCCGUCGUAUUCUUUCGUAAAAGUGUUCAAAAUAAACACAAAACAAUAUCAGCGGGUUUUUAAUUGCGCAAAGGCUUCUUUAGAAUUGAUAUGUGAUGGCAAGAAUGAGAACGUUCCAAGAUGUCAGCGCUCUUGUGGUUAGCGGUCUCGCGGCCCAGCUAUUCUAGCCACCCUAGCGCAGCUUUUCCUCUAGAGUCAGUAUAUUAAAGGGACACUAAAGGCAAAUAUUAAGUCCACAUUGAUUGUUGAAAUAGCGGU
rnacentral:lncRNA from 1 species